GUGAGGAAUAUUGCGCAAUGGAGGCAACUCUGACGCAGCCAUGCCGCGUGCAGGAAGAAGGCGCUACGCGUUGUAAACUGCUUUUAACCGGGAAGAAACCCCAGGACGUGUCCUGGGUUGACGGUACCGGAGGAAUAAGCACCGGCUAACUUCGUGCCAGCAGCCGCGGUAAUACGAAGGGUGCAAGCGUUAUCCGGAUUCAUUGGGUUUAAAGGGUGCGUAGGCGGAGCGUUAAGUCAGUGGUGAAAUCCUGCAGCUUAACUGUAGACUUGCCAUUGAUACUGUCGCUCUUGAGUGCGCUUGAAGUGGGCGGAAUGUGCCGUGUAGCGGUGAAAUGCUUAGAUAUGGCACAGAACACCAAUUGCGAAGGCAGCUCACUAAGGCGAUACUGACGCUGAGGCACGAAAGCGUGGGGAUCGAACAGGAUUAGAUACCCCAGUAGUCC
rnacentral:rRNA from 1 species